rnacentral:rRNA from 1 species
CCUACGGGGGGCAGCAGUGGGGAAUAUUGCGCAAUGGGCGCAAGCCUGACGCAGCAACGCCGCGUGAAGGAAGAAGGCUUUCGGGUUGUAAACUUCUUUCAAGAGGGAAGAGCAGAAGACGGUAUCUCUUGAAUAAGCCACGGCUAACUACGUGCCAGAAGCCGCGGUAAUACGUAGGUGGCAAGCGUGGUCCGGAUUUACUGGGUGUAAAGGGCGUGCAGCCGGGAAGACAAGUCAGAUGUGAAAUCCCGCGGCUCAACGGCGGAACUGCAUUUGAAACUGUUUAACUGGAGUACCGGAGAGGUCAGCGGAAUUCCUGGUGUAGCGGUGAAAUGCGUAGAUAUAAGGAGGAACACCAGUGGCGAAGGCGAAUGCCUGGAAGGUAACUGACGUUGAGGCGCGAAAGCGUGGGGAGCAAACAGGAUUAGAUACCCUUGUAGUC